CAGCAGCCGCGGUAGUACGUAGGUCCCGAGCGUUGUCCGGAUUUAUUGGGCGUAAAGGGAGCGCAGGCGGUUUAGUAAGUCUGAAGUUAAAGGCAUUGGCUCAACCAAUGUAUGCUUUGGAAACUGUUAGACUUGAGUGCAGAAGGGGAGAGUGGAAUUCCAUGUGUAGCGGUGAAAUGCGUAGAUAUAUGGAGGAACACCGGUGGCGAAAGCGGCUCUCUGGUCUGUCACUGACGCUGAGGCUCGAAAGCGUGGGUAGCGAACAGGAUUAGAUACCCCAGUAGUCCCUGUCUCUUAUACA
rnacentral:rRNA from 1 species